rnacentral:rRNA from 1 species
UACGUAGGGUGCAAGCGUUUAAUCGGAAUUACUGGGCGUAAAGCGUGCGCAGGCGGUGAUGUAAGACAGAUGUGAAAGCCCCGGGCUCAACCUGGGAAUUGCAUUUGAGACUGCGUAGCUAGGGUGCGGAAGAGGGAAGCGGAAUUUCCGGUGUAGCGGUGAAAUGCGUAGAUAUCGGAAGGAACACCAGUGGCGAAAGCGGCUUCCUGGUCCAGCACCGACGUCAGGCACGAAAGCGUGGGGAGCAAACAGG